rnacentral:rRNA from 1 species
GACGAACGCUGGCGGCGUGCUUAACACAUGCAAGUCGAGCGGGGAGGCUUUUCGGCACCGGCUGCUGAGGCGGGAACGUCACAGGAGCAGGUGCUGGAAGGACUUCCAGCGGCGGACGGGUGAGUAACGCGUGAACAAUCUGUCCCAGACAGGGGGAUAACAGAUGGAAACAUCUGCUAAUACCGCAUAAGACCACGGAGCCGCAUGGCACUGAGGUAAAAGGAGCAAUCCGGUUUGGGGUGAGUUCGCGUCUGAUUAGCUAGUUGGUGAGGUAACGGCUCACCAAGGCGACGAUCAGUAGCCGACCUGAGAGGGUGAUCGGCCACACUGGAACUGAGACACGGUCCAGACUCCUACGGGAGGCAGCAGUGGGGAAUAUUGGGCAAUGGGCGAAAGCCUGACCCAGCAACGCCGCGUGAAGGAAGAAGGUUUCGGAUUGUAAACUUCUGUCCUCAGGGAAGAAGGAAGUGACGGUACCUGAGGAGGAAGCCCCGGUAACUACG